ensembl:lncRNA
CUGGGCUGAAUGGUGGAUGUUCUGUAGGAAAGCAGAGUUACAGAUCAGCAAAGAAAGUCUGAUGAUUCAACAUGUAGUCGGUUGCUCUCACGUUCACACCAAAGGUACCGAACUUAUAUGGAAGACCCUAAGUGGUAAGACCCAUGCCUACUGGAAAUGGAAUCUUCUGCUUCUGGGAACAACUCUGCUCCACAAACAGUCACGCCCUGGAUCUGCAGACUGCCAUCAACACCUGCUCUCCUGCAGUGCCUGGUGCUCCAGAAACCCCAGGCUGCCCGUUGUGAGGCCAGGGAUGCGCAGCUUUCCCAGAGCCAGGCAUUUUACAUUGUUUGUAGUCUGCAUUUUGGAGUCAUUACUCAGUGGUACAAGAGAUGCAAUUGUCACUGCGGUUGGAAGCCAAUCAACGCGUUGUGAGUGGGAGCCCGCUGGUACUUUCCAAUGGUCCUUGAUUAAAAAGGAAGCUCUUGGCUAUCUUCAAGCAGCAGGAGAGGAAACAGCAUGGAGAAGAUACUCAGAUGCAGCGGAAUUCAAGCAUGAAACUAAACAGCUUCUCAGAUAUUAUCUAUUCAGCCAUCUGCUUGACAGACAAUGGAUAACCUUCCAGAUUCAUGGAGCUGCAUCUGCCUUUUAAUCCAGUGGUAGUCUCCAUGGAAAUAAACAGGAGGCAUUACUUUUGGAGCAACCCAUGUAUAUGUGGCCCAGAACCAUUCCUCUUCACUCAAUACAGCUCAGACAAGCCAAAAGGUUGGAUAGCCAUGCUCUAAGGCUUCUGCGUAUCCAGAAGAGACUGCAGGGACUUCAAGUGAUCUUCGCCUCCUGCUGAACCAGAUAGGUAAAAAGGGAAAAGGUUAUAUUCUGAUAUCAUCAGGAGCAAUAUUGGGCAACUUAGGACCUCCUAUAUUUGGCCUAUGACUUUUGCAGGAAGAUCUCCAUCCUCCUCCAACAAGAAGUACACUGCCAUCCCUCCUAAAUCCAGGACUCGCAUCAAAGACAGACUGAUGGGAUACUGUUGUGACAAGAGGAGAGGACAGGAUUGCCCACUGGAUGAGGAGUUGUGGAGCAGUACUCAAGGAAAUCCCAUCGAUCAGACCGAUUCAGCAGAGGUAUGAUUCGCAUCACAUUCAGAAUAAGGACACUGAUAUUUACAACCAUGUAUUCUCCUCCAACUAUUUUUAUCUGAGGUUGCCUACACCAGAAGUGCUUAAGCCAAGAAGGUGCAGGAAUUUUUGGGGUUCUCCCAAUAAAUUCCUGUUUUGUCUCUCUCCUUCAGUUUGAAAUGGUGCUUAUAGACAGAAGCACAUCCAAGUGAAGACUGCUUAACUUGAAGGAAGCAAAUGGCCCUCUGUCUAGAAUAUCCCCUUUAAUGGGUUAAAACCCUCUUUCUGGACUGCCUUAGUUAUCCUCUAGGAUGGUUCCAACACUGCACCAUUCAUCCUUCACCCCACCAUCACUGUAUACUUUCAGGCCAGGCACUCAAAUACCAGAGAAUCACCUGUUCUUACUUUUCUUCUACCCAGAGCUUUUUUCUUCAUCAAUGACACCAGAUGCUGUACAACUCUCCACUGUGACAGCUUUGUACAAAUGGAAAUCCAUAGCAAAUGUGAGCAUAACCUGCAACAGAGUGAAGCCCAAACCAAACAAGUAAACCAACCAACCAAACAAGAAACCCACAUAUUUUUCAGCAAUGGGAGAGAAGGCGAGAAAAUAUUUACCUUACUCUCCCUCCGUGCUUGUUUCACUCACAUUAGAGUAGAUUUCCCCUUUCCGGAUUGUCUCGUGCAUAAAAUACACCCAAGUUUCAUGAGCUGUGUAUGUGCCUAUACAAGUAGAGUGCACAAGCUCUGCUGGCUGUGCUGGUGGGGAGUCCUGCAUCUGAGUAGUGGCUCUGGGUCAAAACUGUGGAGAGGGCACCAGAAAUUAAUAUAGAUCAUCUUUUUCAUAAUGUUAGAGAGUGCCACCAGUGUUUGGUGGCUCAGUUUGCUCCAUGAAACUGUGGUUGGGGCUGCUUUGCAUCCACCUGCUGAUUACUCCACUCUUCCCCUUUCCCCAUUAGGAGAGAAAAAGAUUAAAUUCCCAUUAAUUAAAAGCUAAUUGAUGACAAGAUGACAACACUAAUGUAGAAGCUCAUGGUCCUGAGUAACAAGAUGCUAAAUAUCACCAGUUCAAUUUAAAAAGACAGCAUCAAUGUUAGCCUGAUAACUAGAGAAACAAUCUUGCUAAUUGUGGGAAAUGACUCAAAGGCCUGGCUUGGUUGUCAUAGGAGGAUGGGAUGAGACCCCACAGCACCCAGUGGGUGCAACCCAGCCUGUUGUGCUCCCCCAAGCCCUGCACUGCCGUGGCACUGUGCACACCUGGCUGUGCGCAUGAAGCCAAAUCCCUGCGAGGACGACGGAUGCUGUGCAUAGGACUGGGGCCUGGCUGGCUCUGCUGGGGCAGGGCGUGCUCAGAAGCAGCCUGUCCUGAACAUACCAUGGGGGCCAGCCACAUUUGUAGGCUCUGGCACAGGCACUGGCAGCACAUCCAGUCUGCUUUGCUGGCCUGAGCAUGCAGCCCUCCUCCUGGGCAGGGACAGGCAUGGCAGCAGUGCCUAUGUUCUGUUGGAGCAGCUUUGCUUGAGCUCUCUCAAGCCCCCAAGGGGACGAAGCCUGUCUCACCAGAAGGGGAUGGGACAGCAAACUGCUGUGCUGCUGAUGGCCUCACACCCCUCCUGCCUCCGCCACCAGCUCUGGGAUCAGCACGUGCUGCAGCAGUUGUGCACCCAGCCCCCACAUCACGGCCCUGAGACAGAGAUCUGUUACCUGAUGGUAGCAGCUCUGAAGGGCUGAGAUUAAUUAAAGGAUUAACUGAAAUCCAUUCUUUUCUUGAAUUCUUCUUCUUCUUCUUCUUUUAUUUAUUUAUUUAUUUUCCCUGCUUCUUUUUGCUGUGAAUCUCCAUUCUUGGCUGGCAGUGCUUCCAGCAGUUGGGAACUGGAAUUAUGGAGCAGAGAAGGCUAAAUGCAAUCCAAACCCAGGAAGUCAGUUUGGAUCAUAAAUCUGCCAAGCCAUUAUGGAAUCACAGUAUGGUUUGAGUAGGAAGGGACCUUUGGUAGUCAUUGAAACCAACCCCCUGCCAUGGGCAGGGACAUCUUCCAUGAGAGCAGACUGCCCAGGGCUCCAUCCAGCCUGGCCCUGAGCACUGCCCGAGAUGGGGCACCCACAGCUUCCCUGUGCAACUUAUCAAGCCAUCCAAGGAAGCAGAGAGAAAGAAACCUAAGGGAAGGUGCCAGCAGAGCACUGCAAAUAAAAUCAAAGGAGAAGACAGAUUAAAUGUGUUCUGCGUAAUGCAGGCUUGGUUUCAUUCAAGUCCAUUUUGUAAGCAAGAUUUCAUGUUUCCUCUGAGUCUAAAAAUUAAAGCUUGAUGGAGCUAGUCUGGGUGAGACUUGUGGCUUUCUUCAUGAUUUUAUUGUGCUAAAAAUGAUCAUAAAACCGCAAGAACACCUUUUUCAGCAGAACUGCCUCUCUUUAGAAGACCCAUUACAGCACAUGUAAUAACAGAGCCGUGCAUCAGCUCUGCCGUAGGACCUGAGAAGAGGCCUGUGCUGGGACAAAACGGACCCACAGAGCUGAGCUCUGCUGUGAAGUGGGAGCACAGAGGCCCUCAGCACUCUCUGCUUCACCUGAGAAGUAUUCUGGGGGCAGCCAUGCAGAAAGAGGAGUGCUGAGCACCUGCAGGCCCCCCCUAAGGACAGAUCUCUGCAGACAGACCAAGGGAGGAUCAUCUAUCCUGCACUCAGCAGGCACAACGAUGCUGGGUCCUACCAGGAAAUGUGCUCUGACACACAGCAGCAACAAGGUUUGAACACUUUUUCCUUCGUUUCUGGGGAUUUGUGACUCAUGCCAGGAGCUGAGAGUGGAUGGAAAGUGGGGUGCUGUGCUUUCGCUGGUCCAUUCGGGCAGCUUCUGAUGGCUGUGGGAAUUAUCACGUACUGCUUUCGUGGUAGCACUGCGUAAAUGUCAAAUAGUUAUAUAUUAUUUUAUAAAUAUCCUUCAGAGACAGGAUUGAAAGUGGCUUCAGAGCUGUUCCCCGAGGGAUUUGGUCACUGUCUUACAGACAAGAAAAGAACUGCUGGGCUGGGACUUUGCCAUGACCAGGCAGCACCCCUGGGACUCUCGCAAGCUGCUCUGAUCUAAUCCUCAUGAAGCCUGACCCUUCCUUUCAAAUGAAACCUAAUCCAUCACCCCCUGAUUGUGCAAAACAUUAUCCGCUGACAAAUGCGGUGAUAGCGGUGCUAAUAGAAGCCUGAUGGAUGGCCAGGGCUGGGACUGCAGCUCUCCUGCCCAGCGACUCCUACCUGAGCUUCAGCAUCUGUGAGCAGGAGCUGGGAGAAGAGCAGUUUUUCUGGAGCUGCCCCAUACAGCCCAGCAUUUUGGCCGGUCUGUGCCAUGCCCUCCCUUCCCAGGUCUGCUAUGGGAAGGACUGCAGCCAGGCAGGGCUGCCUUCAGCUGCUGAGCUCCAAGCUCUGUUGUUUUCAUCCAGCCCAGCACGAAGGCGUAAGCUUUCCUAUUAGCUUUUAUUGUUAUUGUUAUUAUCUAAAUCGUGCAAGAAAAAGCAUUCACUGACCUAGUCUGCAAUAAACUAUAAGUGGUUCUGAAGACCAUGAAGAUGGACAACACGAGGCAGAAGUGCUGCACGCUCUGUUGAGUUUUUCAUUAGGAUUUUUCUCUCCCCCUGUCUAUUUCUCACACCCACUGGAUUAUGAAUUUACAUGCAUUAUAAUGAGAAUAACUACAAUCAUGAUAGAUAGGAUUUUUUUUUUUUAAAUCUUUAUGUAAAAAGCUACGGAACAUAAGCGAGCUGUCGAAGUUUGAAGGAAUCAGCCCCGUUUUGGUCAUACACUUUCAUAUUUCUUGUUUUGGGGAUGCAGAGUGAGUCUGGGCUGCAAUCUAAAUUCUGCGGGGAGUUGUGGUUGACGGAAAUAAACCAUGUGUUGAGGGUGCCAUGUGAGCUGAACAUAAACAUGAAUUAAACCCUGCAACUGUGAAGGAACCAGGACUGCUGCAAAACUGGUGCUAAAAACAUAAAUUUAAAGCCUAAAAGAAUGGAUUGGAAGCCGGUUUAAUUGCCUCAAUAAAGGGGUAACAUGAAAGUUAUGGGUGUCAGAGCAGAUUAAAUGUACCUCAGAAAUCAGAAUAUGCUGUUGAUGCAUGAUGGAUGAAUGACAGAAGCCUGAAAGAGGCUAUUACAUCGACACAGUUGUAUAGAAAAUGUGGUUUAGUGGUUAAAAAGGGUGAGUGGAAGGCAGGGGCUCUUGCUGGGGCACAGCAGCUCCUUGCAUUGCAGUGUGAGCUUGGGCUGAAGCUUCUUUGUUGGGUUUGUUGAGUGGGAGCACCUUGCUCAGUGCCUGGGUGCUGUGCAACCUUGUUAGUAGGGCUGGAAAUCAACCUGCUCUUUGGAACGCAUCAUAUGCUAG